UGCCAAGGCAUAUAUCAUUCUCGAGGCAGAGGCAGGGUAGGAUCACUGUUUCUCGUUUAUUCUUGAUUAUUCGUUCCUGAUCUUUGAUUGAUGAGGUUUGCCUACUUAUUGCGCAAAGCCAAUCUAAACGCUGGUCUUUCCAAACCAUGGGAACGAUAAUCGUAGUGCUAGUUAACUUUGGCCCUCGCAGCAUUCAUUCUGUCCGGAUUGAAUUGCAAUGCCCAUUUUUUGCCUUAUUUUAUGACAACAAUGUUUAGAGUCUUGCUCAUCACCCACUGAUUCAAGUUAAAAAACUAGGGGAAGCGGAAAUCUGUUUCUGCUGAUAUCCUGAAACGUGCAGCUGCCAUGGGUCAGAGCUUGGUCGUGCCCGGUGCAAGCCCGACAGUUGCCGCUCGCCUGAGUUGGGUUGUUGGCUCAUGAAAUGAGAU
rnacentral:sRNA from 2 species